UAUAUUAUUAGUUGCUGCCUUGCUGGUACUUGGGCAAGGCAAGGUGGCGAAUGAGGGUCACCAUGGAAGCUGGUAAAGCGGAUGUGGACUUAUCUUCCUUCUUCCAGCAGGGCCCACACGCGGCAAGGGAGAUGAUGAAUUGACGGCCAAUGGUAUUUUUUUUAAAAAAAUAAGAAAUAGAAAAAGAAGGAACACGGGUGCCGUGUGGUCCACGUGUGCGUGACGUGCACGCGUCGU
rnacentral:lncRNA from 1 species